GCUCAGAGAACCCUGACCCUGCCAGGCCCAGUGGCCAGACAGGAAAUGAGAGGAAGGAGUGAGGUCAUGGAAACUGAGGGGCUGCCUCACGCAGUGGACAUGGCUCCACUCUCCAGUUAUGUAACACCGAGGUCGGCCUGGCCCCCUCAGCAUCCUCAUUAUAUAAUUUCCUCCUGGCUGCCACUGCCUCCUCCUCAUGCAGGGCCCUGGGUCCCACCCCCACCAUGCCAGGCACAGCCAAAUGCUUAUUUGCAUGACCAGGGUAAAUUUGAUCCUGGAAGCAGAUCUUCAGUUAAGUCAGAAACCCCAGGGCACCUUGGCAACUGCCUCAGCUCAGCCAUCAGGACUGCUGGGGGCUCAGAGACAGACCACACUGCAUCUGGGGUUGCUAAGGCCACCCAACUCUGUGACGGGACCUGCUAGAAAGGGAGUCUGGGGCCAGCCCUUCUACCCAGCUGCUCCUCCUAUUCACAGGCUCAGAGCUGGUGUGACCCCUGCAUGGUGCAGGAUUUAGCAUCCAGGGAGCUUGAAAAGUGUACAGCUGAACUCAGGAGCCAAUGGAACAGGAGGAGGCC
rnacentral:lncRNA from 1 species